rnacentral:lncRNA from 1 species
UCUCGUGGAAUUUGACCUACGAAACUGGACAUAUUCUGAUUUCGCUUUCGAUGUGUCUUUUACAUGUAAGGAUAGAAUAUGCCUAGACUUUUUAUACCAUUCAGUAUUUAAAGAUUUUUUAUGCCAUUCCAUUAGCGUUGUGUAGGCGCAAAGCUACACUUAGUUUCAUAGAGAAUGAAAGGUCAAGUCUUUCUUUAUCAUCUAUCUUUAGACGAAACAGACCUCUCUUUUUAGAGUAAAGACUUUGACUAAUCAUUGGAGCAUAUAUAGGCCUCACUAUCGUUAGAGCGCCUAAGCCAAUUGAUGGAAAAACAUCAUCAAUACGAUCCUUGAGUUCCUAUUUGAGACCGUGUCUUCCCAAGAUCCUUUUUAUUCUUAACUUCAGAUGUUUUGAUACAUAUUGACAUGUCUUGUCCAUUAAGAGUCCACAUGUAAAUCCGAAAUCAAUACGCAAGGGCAUUAUUCAUCAUAUCCCUUCUAAAUCAAGUAAGUACUUAUUGUGCGUUCCAACUUCUCUUGCAAACACAUGCUCCGGUGGUCUGGCGCCACUUGAUUCGGGUGAAUGAAGUUUAUCUAAGACUUUCAUGCAUAUCUCAGAUCCCAUAGAGAUAUAAUCAUAACCACAUGGGCUGCUGUAACACCCUGACCCAGAUUAACGGAUGAUAAAUCCGAGAUUAGGGUGUCACGAAAUGGUUUAGAAACAUCAAUUAGGUCUUAUCGCGUUUGAGAAGAUCAAAUAUUGUAGUUGAAUUUUCAUGAGAUUUAAACACAACCCCAAAAGACAUAAACCCAGAUGAAAUCAUAAAUACCUGAAACGAGGAGCUGGAGCUUCCAGCCUUCCCACCCGGCCCCUCUCCCCUCAUUUCGAUCCCUUUUUUGCCUAAAAAGAUCGAGAAAGUUGGUGGAGGGUGAUAAGAUCAGGGAGGUCGUUGUCUUCCUCUAACUCCUUCUCAUAGAAGAAAAGAAAAUCGGAGAAAGCAAGAGAGAUAGAGAGACUGAUAGAGAGAGACUGAGAGAGUUAUAGAGAAGAAGAGUAGUUUUUUUUUUUUUUUUCUUCCUCCCCCCAGGAACUUCCCCUUCCCUCCCUUAAUCUCUUGCUAAGAUCGGUGGUCUGACGGUUUAACACCGAUCCUUCUAGACCUCCCCCGAUAUUUCUCUAUUUUUUUUAUCUAUAUUUAUAUCCAAAACUGUUUAUAUCCAAAACUAUCUAUAAUAUGUAUUUAUUGUCUCAUAUAUACUUAAAUUACGGUAUUAUAGCUAUAAUACGGGUUAUCGCGAUAUUAAAAUUAUCUUUCAUAAUCUCAAGACUUUGGAAAGUCACGAUAAAUAGUCAAGAAUUUAAAAAAUUCUCACAAACCCGUCAUCAUUUUACCUCGUCACAGGAAUUUAAGUGACAUUUCAAGCAUUCUCAUUAUUCACCGAUUUCAAAAGUAUUUCUUACAAACCCUCACUUAAAUUGUGUCGAUAUGGAUUUUACCAAAUCCUGAAACUAUAUGUGUGUGUGUGUAUAUAUAUAUAUAUAUAACUUACCUUAUGAACCGUCGGAGUAUUACAAACUCACCCCUUUAAAAAAUUUCGUCCUCGAAAUUUAUAAUAGUCCUUGGUGUGUGAUAUCUGGUACGUACUCAAGACGUUUCCCCUUGGUGAGCAAUCACCUUGGCACAUAACUAUAGUAUCUCAAGGUACUUCAGAUAUCAAAUAGUUCUGGAUAGUAUACAUGUAUCCUGCUUCCGUUGUGUUCACAUCCACUUUAAUUCAUUCUUGUACAACUGAAGUUACUGGCAAUUUAUUUACAAUAUUCACAGCCACCAUUUUCUUUUAUGUUAGAUUUUCAAAAUUAUUUACCAUACUAAUUUUCUAAUCCGAUAUAGAAAUACUAUCAAGAAAUGAGUGCUUACUUAUUCUAGAGAGAAAGACAGCUAGCUGAACCAUUUUGCUUGCAUUUUCUUUUAAUUCGUAUAAUGACAUCGCAUUAUAAUCGAAUUGAGUUCUCUCUAGAUUUUAUAUCUCUGUUUGUGAAUAUAUUGCUUCUUUCAAAUUGUGAAACUUACUGCUGCUCAGAACAACUGUCUCACAAUCCAUAAUGGCAAAACCAAGAACCAACUCAAGUGUACAAAAUCCUGCAACACCAUAAAUUAAACGAAUCUGACCCCAUCUGGUCUUUUAACUAUUUGCAAAUCCAUCUAUACCCUUUUUUCCAAUCACAGAGACAAAAAGUUGAAACCUUGUCUGCAAUUAAAUCAACUCAGCCAAAAUUUUUUUUUAACCUUUUCAUCAACCAGGUCUUUCUUUGAAUUGUAGCAGAUUAGCUACUUUCCUUGAAAUUUAUAAUAGGUCGAUCAAUAAAAACAUAUAUGAUGCACGGUAUAUGAACAAGUAAUAAAUUUGCACAUGUUCACGCAAAUGAGAAUCUCUUCCACAUUUUCAUGAUUGUGUCAUGAGAUCCCCGCACUCGGCGGUAAAAUCCGACACUCGGCCGUAAUCCCCACACUCGGAGGUAAACCCCGCAUUCAGCGGUAAAAUCGGGCACUCGGCCAUAAAACCCCGCACUCGGUGGUAAACCCCACACUGGGCAAUAAAAUCCGGCACUCGGCAGUCGCACCCUGCAUUGGCGGCAAACCCGUCACUCGAGUGGUAAAACCCGGCACUCGGCCGUAACCAGUGUGGUAACCCUACGCCCCCCCCAAGCAAGACGUGGUCACACCCACACUAAACCCCGCACUUGGCGGUAAACCCAGUACGGUAUCCUACGCCCCCGGGGAAAGACGUGGUCGCAUCCGUACUGUAAACCCAGCAUAUAGCUGUCCCAGCAUAAAGCUGUAAACUGAAUAUCACCACCACACGAAAUGACAAAGGGUAAUAACCGCCAAUAGCCGUCACCCUGCAUUAAGCGAUAUAAGCAUUAACCUGUCAACAUCAUCAAAUGCAAACCCACCAUGCAGUAAAGAGAAAUCACCUGAAGACACAAGCACUUACACAGUGCAUUAAUUUGAUUAGACAAAUAAAUGCAAAAGGCAACACCAUCAACUUAAGAAAUAUGUUGCUCAAACAGUUGUACACGAAUAACUGAACCUCAUCAUAGUAACUUUAACCAUGGAUACUGGCUGUACACUAGCAACCACACCAACUGCAGGACAAUUGUUCACCUAAAGUGAUAUCAAUCAGUGAUCAAAUCAAAGGUAAGUCCUUUCUAUAGCUCUCAGCGACCACAACAUAAUAACAUAUAACAAUGGGCAGAAGUAUACUACGUCAUACCAGAUUGAUAUCCAUGAUAUUUACCAACUCAAUCAUGACAGAAGUUGUACAGCUGAAUAAAUUCAAGGGCAAGGAAAGAAGUAUGUGCAAUUAUAAAACACAAACAUACCAGUAGAGAUCUAUGACCAUGUUAUCUUACCUGCUGUCCAGAGACGUGUCCUUCACCGAUUAAAGUACGUAUAUACAUAUCCACGAAUUUAAAAGAUAUGAAGCAGUUUAUUUUCCUUGCCAGUGGAUAAAAAUCAAUGCAAGCAACACAGUAUAUGCAUGUCCUUCUAUUCAAGUAUCUAACAAUGAAGCUACUGCUUGAUAAUACCUUGUCAUCAAGCAUGUAACAUUUGAUAGCAAUACACACACACACACCCACACACAUCUCAAAUCUGCAGACCACAGGUGCCAAAAUAACCAAAUUCUCAGAAAGUGAAUAGCAGGAUACUCGCAUGAUAUCUAAAAUUAUGUUCCAAACAAGCAGGACACCACCUUAAAGCUUAUUAAACAAUAUCUCACUGUGUUAUCAUGUACACUGUAAUUUUGCCUUGAAGAAAUCUUGAAGAUGCACGCAAGUAAAAACUGACCUCAAAGGCAGCCCAUAUGUAGCAUCAUAUAUGUGUCCAUAUCCUUCAUCUCUGUGAAACCAGUCUCCUCAUCUUUCACCUUCCUUUCCAUUUCAACUUAAUCUCUGUGAAAGAAACUUCACAUGACUAGAAUCCAUGAGUAGAACAAAUAUAUAUAACAUAUAUGAGUAGAAACCAUGUCUACAUGAUUCAUUUAAUUACCAUAUGGAAGACAAUCAGAGAUCAGGAACAUCGAUGCAAUAAACAUAUACUCCCACAUAUAUACACAGACUGGCACCACUUAAAAGAAGGGAACAACUUCAUAUGAAUAAGAACUAGGAUUAACCUCACCUGACAGCCAUGACAGAUAUCUAAUUUCCAAAACUAGAUUAGGGGAGCAACACUACACCUCUGCUUAACUAGGUAGAGUAGCGAGAUCUUUUCAAAGAUCACUACAGUAAACAACAACUUCAUAACUCCAUGGGAAAAAUUCCUUUAAUCAAAUCAAACAAAAUCAGAUAUUCGUCCCAAGCUCUAACCAAACAUACAUAUAGAUUUGACUACUAUACCCCGUCCUAUUUGAUCAAUACAACUAUCAAUAAAUUAAACAAAACGGAAGAACUUCACCUCCUAGCAUUCACAAUGAGGAACCACUCAUAGAAAACAGUGGUUAUCACCUACCAUUCAUAAUGAUGAACCAAGAAUACAGUUUUUGGAUGUAAACGUAUUAAAUUGAGGAACUCAUAUAUAGAACUCUAAGUGUGAGAUAACAUCAAGAUCAUAAUUUCAUAAUAAUAACCUUUUGUCGAUCAUUCAAAGCAAAGAAAGAUAUAUCCCAAUGAAAGCUCCAAACUUUUAAGCACACAGAAAAUAAUGAAAUACAAAGAUCAAUGCUUUCAGCCACUUAUAUCAUUCUGUAUUCCCAAAACACAAUUUAGUAAGGUCCGAGGUAUGAACCUAGGCUCUGAUACCAUUUUGUAACACCCUGACCCAGAUUAACGGAUGAUAAAUCCGAGAUUAGGGUGUCACGAAAUGGUUUAGAAACAUCAAUUAGGUCUUACCGCGUUUGAGAAGAUCAAAUACUGUAGUUGAAUUUUCAUGAGAUUUAAACACAACCCCAAAAGACAUAAACCCAGAUGAAAUCAUAAAUACCCGAAACGAGGAGCUGGAGCUUCCAGCCUUCCCACCCGGCCCCUCUCCCCUCCUUUCGAUCCCUUUUCUGCCUAAAAAGAUCGAGAAAGUUGGUGGAGGGUGAUAAGAUCAGGGAGGUCGUUGUCUUCCUCUAACUCCUUCUCAGAGAAGAAAAGAAAAUCGGAG